rnacentral:rRNA from 1 species
AUUGAACGCUGGCGGCAGGCUUAACACAUGCAAGUCGAGCGGAGUGAUGGUGCUUGCACUAUCACUUAGCGGCGGACGGGUGAGUAAUGCUUAGGAAUCUGCCUAUUAGUGGGGGACAACAUCUCGAAAGGGAUGCUAAUACCGCAUACGUCCUACGGGAGAAAGCAGGGGAUCACUUGUGACCUUGCGCUAAUAGAUGAGCCUAAGUCGGAUUAGCUGGUUGGUGAGGUAAAGGCCUACCAAGGCGACGAUCUGUAGCGGGUCUGAGAGGAUGAUCCGCCACACUGGGACUGAGACACGGCCCAGACUCCUACGGGAGGCAGCAGUGGGGAAUAUUGGACAAUGGGGGGAACCCUGAUCCAGCUAUGCCGCGUGUGUGAAGAAGGCCUUAUGGUUGUAAAGCACUUUAAGCGAGGAGGAGGCUCUUUUGGUUAAUACCCAAGAUGAGUGGACGUUACUCGCAGAAUAAGCACCGGCUAACUCUCUACCAGCCGCCGCCGUAA